rnacentral:rRNA from 1 species
AACGAACGCUGGCGGCAGGCCUAACACAUGCAAGUCGAACGGUAACAGGUCUUCGGAUGCUGACGAGUGGCGAACGGGUGAGUAAUACAUCGGAACGUGCCUAGUAGUGGGGGAUAACUACUCGAAAGAGUGGCUAAUACCGCAUGAGAUCUACGGAUGAAAGCAGGGGAUCGCAAGACCUUGUGCUACUAGAGCGGCCGAUGGCAGAUUAGGUAGUUGGUGGGAUAAAAGCUUACCAAGCCGACGAUCUGUAGCUGGUCUGAGAGGACGAUCAGCCACACUGGGACGUAGACACGGCCCAGACUCCGACGGGAGGCAGCAGUGGGGAAUUUUGGACAAUGGGCGCAAGCCUGAUCCAGCAAUGCCGCGUGCAGGAUGAAGGCCUUCGGGUUGUAAACUGCUUUUGUACGGAACGAAAAGCCCUGGGUUAAUACCCUGGGGUCAUGACGGUACCGUAAGAAUAAGCACCGGCUAACUACGUGCCAGCCGCCGCUGUAAGAC